GAAAUGCAUCUUCUCUUCUUGGUUAAUCAAGAAACUGUUCUCAAAAGAGAUCAUCGUCGGUGAUUGAGCAGGAUGAGCAAGCAACAACUAGAGAAGUUGAAGCAGAAAGUCGGGGCAAACCCCAACUUACAACAAAACGGUCGAUUGUUGCACAUGCGUGAGGUUAUUGGGGGUCACAAUGAGUGGUCUGUAUUUACUUAUAACCUCCAAGUCCUGGGGGAUAUGGCGAGGGAAAACACAGAGCUGAGAAAAAAGCAUGAAAAACUGUUACAAAUGAUGGCACCAAUGUUGCCCGCUGGAGGAGGAAUGAUGCCUAAUCUUCUGGGUAUGAAUAAUCCCAGUGGCAACACAAACCAGUCCUUCCUGGGGUCUGGGUUGGGCUCCCUUGGUGCCUCUCCAAACUUCAUGAGUCCCAACAUGAAUUUCAAUCUUAUGGUUAUGCUGUUGGCCCAAAAGAUGGAAGACAUGAUGAGCAGGCUUGAUAAGUUGGAACAGGCACAAAAAGGGUAGAGCAUGGUAAUGCAUGGAGGUUACAAAUACUAUGUAAUGAGUUGAAUAAUCGUUAUGAUUUGAUGUGAUGUUCGGACUUCAGAGAGUUUGAAAGUCCAACAGUAUGUCUGCUUCCUCUCUAGUAUGUCCUAUUGUAAGAACGUGCUUCAUAUGUUAUAUUACGAGUGCGUGUCUCUGUAAGUUAUGAGUCUUAUGUCCUACAAUAAAUUGACUUUUGGUUC